CGCGGCUCUCCUCCGCCAAGUCCUCAGCCUGGGAAGGUAUAUAUGUAUGCUCUGUUGUGCAUAAAAAAAGAAGAAGACAGCAUGUUGUUUCACUGAAUGUUAAUGUAUUCUUUAUACCUUCCGACUUUCUUUUCUGUCCUCCUUUUGUUUUACUGAAGUUGGUUUCGAUUUCAUGCUUUUUCUCGAGUUUCUUUAUCUCGGGUUUUUUGGUUUCCAAUCCCACUCGGUUUUGCUCAACAUGGUUUGGAUUUUCAGUUUUUUUCCUGAAGAAAAAAAGGAUGCUCCAUGUUCCCUAUUGUUCAAUUUAAUCUCUGGUUCUUGUGCUUUAGAUCUUCUAAAUCUUCGCCCUUUUUACUGAAAGGGAAAUGUGCCCUUGGGCCAUUUCUAAGUAUUGUGGUGAUUGAGUGCCAACACAAGUGCUUAAAUGUGAAUUUAUGCUCAUGGAUGGACAAAGUGCAAAUCAAGAGUAAAGGUAUGUUUCUAAGCUUUAGUACAUUGGUUUUGUGUACUAAUAUACUUGUCUAAAUGUUAGAAACAGAAAGAAGAAGAAAAGAAAAGAGGUGAAAAAGGACUGGCUGUGUACAGCCAAGACUCAGCUCAGUCUGGCACACCGGACUGUCCGGUGGUGCACCGGACAGUAUCCGGUGCGCCAGGCUGACUCGGCGUGAAGUGGCCGCUCUCGGGAAUUUACCGGCGACGUACGGCUAUAAUUCACCGGACUGUCCGGUGUGCACCGGACUGUCCGGUGAGCCAACGUUCGGCCGCGCGAUCUGCGCGGGACACGUGGCCGAGCCAACGGCUAGAAGGGAGCACCGGACUGUCCGGUGUGCACCGGACAUGUCCGGUGCGCCAACGGCUCCAAGUCAGCCAACGGUCGACUUCGCCAUUUAAGGAAGGAAAUCGGGCACCGGACAGUGUCCGGUGUGCACCGGACUGUCCGGUGCGCCACGCGACAGAAGGCAAGAAUUGCCUUCCCUGUUUGCUCUCAACGGCUCCUAGCUGCCUUGGGGCUAUAAAAGGGACCCCUAGGCGCAUGGAGGAGAAAAACAAGCAACCUAAGAGCAUUCUUGAUCAUCCACACUCAGUCUUUGCGCAUUCGUUUGUCAUUCUCAGUGAUUCGAGCUCCGUUCUAGUGAGAACUUUGAGAUAGUCAUUUGAGCUCGAUUCUUGGCCGUGUGUGUGCGUAUUUUGCUGUGGAUUUGUGUGUGUUGCUUCCCUCCCUUACUUCGUAUUUCUUUGUGAAUCUCAAGUGUAAGGGCGAGAGACUCCAAGUUGUGGAGAUUCCUCGCAAACGGGAAAAGAUCAAAGUAAAGAAAAACACUAUGGUAUUCAAGUUGAUCAUUGGAUCACUUGAGAGGAGUUGAGUGCAACUCUCGUCCGUUGGGACGCCACAACGUGGAGUAGGCAAGCGUUGGUCUUGGCCGAACCACGGGAUAAACCACUGUGUCAUCUCUGUGUUUGAUCUCUUGUGGUAUUGUGUUUUGUUGAGACUCCUCUCUAGCCACUUGGCGAUUAUUGUGCUAACACUUAACAAGUUUUUGUGGCUAUAAGUUUAAGUUUCACAUGAUCACCUAUUCACCCCCCCUCCAGGUGCUCUCAAUUGGUAUCAAAGCCGUUCUCUUCACAAAGGGACUAACCGCCCGAAGAGAUGGAUCCUAAAGGGAAGGGAAUCGUGAUCAACGACAAGGAGGAGUCCUUCGUCAACGAGCCAAGGGAUGACAAGUCCAACGACUCGGGCUCGGGCCACAGACGCAAAGAUGGGAAGAAGAAGAAGACAAGACGCAUCAAGGAGAUCGUCUACUACGACAGUGAUGAGUCUACUUCCUCCCAAAAGGACGACGACCACAACGAAUACGAGAGAAAGAAACCGGUCAAUUCGAACUUUUCUUUUGAUUACUCUCGUAUUCCUCAAAGUACUAAUGCUCAUUUAUUAUCUAUUCCACUUGGUAAACCUCCUCAUUUUGAUGGAGAGGACUACGGAUUUUGGAGUCACAAAAUGCGUAGUCACUUGUUCUCUCUCCAUCCUAGCAUAUGGGAGAUUGUAGAAAGUGGAAUGCACUUUGAUAGUACGGAUAGUCCCAUGUUUAUUAAUGAACAGAUUCAUAAAAAUGCACAAACUACUACUGUGUUGCUAGCCUCUUUGUGCAGGGACGAGUACCAUAAGGUGAGCGGCUUGGACAAUGCCAAGCAGAUCUGGGACACCCUCAAGAUCUCUCAUGAAGGGAAUGAUGUCACCUUGCUCACCAAGAUGGAGUUGGUAGAGGGCGAGCUUGGACGGUUCGCAAUGAUAAGGGGCGAGGAGCCAACUCAAACAUACAACCGGCUCAAGACCCUUAUCAACAAAAUAAGGAGCUACGGAAGCACGCGAUGGACGGAUCACGACGUCGUCCGCCUAAUGCUAAGGUCCUUUACCGUUCUUGAUCCUCAUUUGGUGAACAAUAUUCGUGAAAAUCCUAGGUACACCAAGAUGUCGCCCGAAGAAGUUCUAGGGAAGUUCGUAAGCGGGCGAAUGAUGAUCAAGGAGGCAAGAUAUGUGGACGACGCGUUGAACGGUCCUAUUCAUGAGCCUCAACCCAUUGCUCUCAAGGCAACGAGGAGCAAGGAGGCGCUACCGAGCAAGGUGGCGCAAGUUGAGGCGGCCGGGCUAAAUAAUGAGGAGAUGGCCCUCAUCAUUAAGCGCUUCAAGACGGCGCUUAAAGGUCGCAAGGGACAGCCAAGCAAGACCAAGACAAAGGAGAAGCGCUCGUGCUUCAAAUGUGGUAAGAUUGGUCAUUUCAUUGCUAAUUGUCCCGAUAAUGAAAGUGACCAGGAAAAGGGGAACAAAAGGGAGAAGAAGAAGCAUUACAAGAAGGCCAAGGGCGAGGCACAUAUCGGAAAGGAGUGGGAUUCGGAUUGCUCCUCCUCCGACUCCGACAAUGAAGGACUCGCCGCCACCGCCUUCAACAAGUCAUCUCUCUUCCCCAACGAGCAUCACACUUGCCUCAUGGCAAGGGAGAAGAAAGUAAGCACUCAUGACACUAGUACUUAUGCUUCUUCAAGUGAGGAUGAGUCUAGUGAUGAUGAUGAGAUAGAUUACUCAUGCUUAUUCAAGGGAUUAGAUAGAUCUAAAAUUAAUAAGAUUAAUGAGUUGAUUGAUGCUUUGAAUGACAAGAAUAGAUUACUAGAAAAACAAGAAGAUCUUUUAUAUGAGGAGCAUGAUAAAUUUGUUAGUGCACAAAAUUCUCUUGCUCUAGAAAUUAAAAGGAAUGAAAUGCUCUCUGGUGAAUUAUCUACUUGCCAUGAAACCAUUUCUACUUUACAAGGUGUUAACAAUGAUUUAAAUGCUAAAUUAGAAGUAGCAAAUAAAUCUAAUUCUUGUGUAGAACAUGUUAUAAUCUGUACUAGGUGUAAAGAUUUUGACAUUGAUGCUUGUAGUGAACACCUAGUUUCAAUUUCCAAACUUAAUGGUGAAUUGGCUAGUCUUAAUGCUCAACUUAAGACUAGCAAGAAUGAUUUUGAUAAGCUAAAAUUUGCAAGGGAUGCCUACACGAUUGGUAGACACCCCUCAAUUAAGGAUGGACUUGGCUUCAAGAGGGAAGCCAAGAACUUAACAAGUCAUAAGGCUCCCAUCUCCGCCAAGGAGAAAGGGAAGGCCCCUAUGGCAAGUAGUGCUAAAAAGAACCAUGCUUUUAUGUACCAUGAUAAGAGACAAACUAGAAAUGCUUAUAGGAGUUACAAUGCUUAUGAUGAUUUUGAUUCUCAUGACAUGUUUGCUUCUAGUUCUUUCUAUGUGCAUGAUAGAAAUGUUGGUAGGAGAAAUGUUGUUCAUAAUGUUCCUAGGAAAGUUAAUGAACCUUCUACAAUAUAUCAUGCUUUGAAUGCUUCCUUUGCAAUUUGUAGAAAGAAUAGAAAGGUGAUUGCUAGGAAAUUAGGGGCAAAAUGCAAGGGAGAUAAAACUUGCAUUUGGGUCCCUAAGACAAUUGUGACUAACCUUGUAGGACCCAACAAGAGUUGGGUACCUAAGUCCCAAGCCUAAAUUUGCCUUGCAGGUUUAUGCAUCCGGGGGUUCAAGCUGGAUUAUCGACAGCGGAUGCACAAACCAUAUGACGGGGGAGAAGAAGAUGUUCACCUCCUACGUCAAGAAUAAGGAUUCCCAAGAUUCAAUUAUAUUCGGUGAUGGGAAUCAAGGCAAGGUAAAAGGGUUAGGUAAAAUUGCAAUUUCUAAUGAGCACUCUAUCUCUAAUGUGUUUUUAGUAGAGUCUCUUGAAUAUAAUUUGCUAUCGGUUAGUCAAUUAUGCAAUAUGGGAUAUAACUGUCUAUUUGCAAAUGUAGAUGUGUCUGUCUUUAGAAGAAGUGAUGGUUCACUAGCUUUUAAGGGUGUAUUAGACGGCAAACUUUAUUUAGUUGAUUUUGCAAAAGAAGAGGCCGGUCUAGAUGCAUGCUUAAUAGCUAAGACUAGCAUGGGAUGGCUGUGGCAUCGCCGCUUAGCACAUGUGGGGAUGAAGAACCUCCACAAGCUUCUAAAGGGAGAACACGUGAUAGGAUUAACUAAUGUGCAAUUCGAAAAAGAUAGACCUUGUGCAGCUUGUCAGGCAGGUAAACAAGUGGGAGGAGCACAUCACAGCAAGAAUGUGAUGACCACAUCAAGACCCUUGGAACUGCUACAUAUGGAUCUCUUCGGACCCGUCGCCUAUCUAAGCAUAGGAGGAAGUAAGUAUGGUCUAGUUAUUGUUGAUGACUUUUCCCGCUUUACUUGGGUGUUCUUUUUGCAGGAUAAGUCUGAAACCCAAGGGACCCUCAAGCGCUUCCUCAGAAGAGCUCAAAAUGAGUUUGAGCUCAAGGUGAAGAAGAUAAGGAGCGACAACGGGUCCGAGUUCAAGAACCUUCAAGUGGAGGAGUUCCUUGAGGAGGAAGGGAUCAAGCACGAGUUCUCCGCUCCCUACACACCACAGCAAAAUGGUGUGGUAGAGAGGAAGAACAGGACGCUAAUCGAUAUGGCAAGGACGAUGCUUGGAGAAUUCAAGACCCCCGAGCGUUUUUGGUCGGAAGCCGUGAACACGGCUUGCCACGCCAUCAACAGGGUCUACCUUCAUCGCCUCCUCAAGAAGACUUCGUAUGAGCUACUAACCAGUAACAAACCCAAUGUAUCUUACUUUCGUGUAUUUGGGAGCAGGUGCUACAUUCUAGUGAAGAAGGGUAGAAAUUCUAAAUUUGCUCCCAAAGCUGUAGAAGGGUUUUUGUUAGGUUAUGACUCAAAUACAAAGGCGUAUAGAGUCUUCAACAAAUCAUCGGGUUUGGUUGAAGUCUCUAGCGACGUUGUAUUUGAUGAGACUAAUGGCUCUCCAAGAGAGCAAGUUGUUGAUUGUGAUGAUGUAGAUGAAGAAGAUGUUCUGACGGCCGCUAUACGAACCAUGGCGAUUGGAGAAGUGCGGCCACAGGAACAAGAUGAACGAGAUCAACCUUCUUCCUCAACAACGGUGCAUUCCCCAACUCAAGACGAUGAACAGGUUCAUCAAAAGGAGGCGUGUGAUCAAGGGGGAGCACAAGAUGAUCACGUGAUGGAGGAAGAAGCGCAACCGGCACCUCCAACCCAAGUUCGAGCGGUGAUUCAAAGGGAUCAUCCCGUCGACCAAAUUUUGGGUGACAUUAGCAAGGGAGUAACUACUCGAUCUCGAUUAGUUAAUUUUUGUGAGCAUUACUCCUUUGUCUCUUCUAUUGAGCCUUUCAGGGUAGAGGAGGCCUUGCUAGAUCCGGAUUGGGUAUUGGCCAUGCAGGAGGAACUCAACAACUUCAAGCGCAAUGAAGUUUGGACACUGGUGCCUCGUCCCAAGCAAAAUGUUGUGGGAACCAAGUGGGUGUUCCGCAACAAACAGGACGAGCACGGGGUGGUGACGAGGAACAAGGCUCGACUUGUGGCAAAAGGUUAUGCCCAAGUCGCAGGUUUGGACUUUGAGGAGACGUUUGCUCCUGUGGCUAGGCUAGAAUCAAUUCGUAUCUUGCUAGCAUAUGCCGCUCACCAUUCUUUCAGGUUGUACCAAAUGGAUGUGAAGAGCGCUUUCCUCAAUGGGCCAAUCAAGGAGGAGGUGUACGUGGAGCAACCCCCUGGCUUCGAGGAUGAACGGUACCCCGACCACGUGUGUAAGCUCUCUAAGGCGCUCUAUGGACUUAAGCAAGCCCCAAGAGCAUGGUAUGAAUGCCUUAGAGAUUUCUUAAUUGCUAAUGCUUUCAAGGUUGGGAAAGCCGAUCCAACUCUUUUCACUAAGACAUGUGAUGGUGAUUUGUUUGUGUGCCAAAUUUAUGUCGAUGACAUAAUAUUUGGUUCUACUAAUAAAAAGUCUUGUGAAGAGUUUAGCAGGGUGAUGACGCAGAAAUUCGAGAUGUCAAUGAUGGGCGAGUUGAACUACUUCCUUGGGUUCCAAGUGAAGCAACUCAAGGACGGCACCUUCAUCUCUCAAACGAAGUACACGCAAGACCUGCUGAAGCGGUUUGGGAUGAAGGACGCCAAGCCCGCAAAGACUCCGAUGGGGACCGACGGACACACUGAUCUCAACAAAGGAGGUAAGUCUGUUGAUCAAAAGGCAUACCGGUCAAUGAUAGGGUCAUUACUUUACUUAUGUGCUAGUAGACCAGAUAUUAUGCUUAGCGUAUGCAUGUGUGCUAGAUUUCAAUCCGAUCCUAAGGAGUGUCACUUAGUGGCAGUGAAGCGAAUCCUUAGAUAUUUAGUUGCUACGCCUUGCUUCGGGCUCUGGUAUCCAAAGGGGUCUACCUUUGACUUGAUUGGAUAUUCAGACUCCGACUAUGCUGGAUGUAAGGUCGAUAGGAAGAGUACAUCGGGGACGUGCCAAUUCUUAGAAAGGUCCCUGGUGUCAUGGAACUCUAAGAAACAAACUUCCGUUGCCCUAUCCACCGCUGAGGCCGAGUAUGUUGUCGCAGGACAGUGUUGCUCGCAACUACUUUGGAUGAGGCAAACCCUCAGGGACUUUGGCUACAAUCUGAGCAAAGUCCCACUCCUAUGUGAUAAUGAGAGUGCUAUCCGCAUGGCGGAAAAUCCUGUUGAGCACAGCCGCACAAAGCACAUAGACAUCCGGCAUCACUUUUUGAGAGACCACCAGCAAAAGGGAGAUAUCGAAGUGUUUCAUGUUAGCACCGAGAACCAGCUAGCCGAUAUCUUUACCAAGCCUCUAGAUGAGAAGACCUUUUGCAGGUUGCGUAGUGAGCUAAAUGUCCUAGAUUCGCGGAACUUGGAUUGAUUUAUUGCAUACAUGUGUAUAUGCCUUUGAUCAUGUUCCUUAUGCAUUUUGUUGCUUAAUAAUGGUGCUCAAGUUGUACAAACACUCCCUGGACCUCACAAGUCCGUUGCAAUGUGAUGCACAUGUUUAGGGGGAGAUGUGUUACAACUUGACCCUUUGAGACUAACCAUGUGCUUGAGUUUGCUUGUUUUAGUCUCAAAGGUGGUUUUGAAGGGAAAAAGUGGACUUCGACCAUGAAAGACUUCCACUGCACUCCGAUGAGAGGGUAACUUAUUCCAAGUUCAUCUCAUGUACUCUUAUUGCCUUUAUAUUCUUGUCGGCGUUUCGAGACAGGGGGGUCCCUAAGCCGACGAGUGAGUGUGCUGCGUGCCCCAGCCCAGAUGGGUCGAGCGCGUGGGCGAGCGCGAAGGGGGGAGAGGCGAGGUGGCCGGAGUCGGGCGUGAGAGAGGUGGAAGUCCCGCGGCCUUCGUGUUCGUCCCGCGCCCAGGUCGGGUGUGCUUGCAGUAGGGGGGUUACAAGCGUCCACGCGGGUGAGGGAAGCGAGCGGCCCCAAGAGAGCGCCUGUCCCGUCCUCGGUCCCGCGUGGCCAACCUUCUCUAAGAAGGCCCUGGUCCUCCCUUUUAUAGUCGUAAGGAGAGGAUCCAGGUGUACAAUGGGGGGUGUAGCAGAGUGCUACGUGUCUAGCGGAGAGAGAGCUAGCGCCCUAGGUACAUGCCAAUGUGGCAGCCGGAGAGGUCUUGGCACCUUGCUGGCGUGAUGUCGUAGCUGUCGGAGGAGCGACGGAGCCUGGCGGAGGGACAGCUGUUGGAGCGGUCGAGUCCUUGCUGACGUCGCCCUGCUUCCGUAAGAGAGCUGAGGGCCGCCGUCGUCACAGAGCUCGUGGAGCGCCAUCAUUGCCCAUCCGGCGGAGCUGGCCGGAUGGGACGCCGGUCUUGUUCUCCGUGUCCCGAGUCGAUUCGGGGUAGGACGAUGAUGGCGCUUCCUGUUGACGUGGCGGGCCUGUGCCCUAGGCAGGGCGACGUGGGGGCUCCUCCGAAGCUGAGGUCGAGUCUGUCUUCCGUUGCCGAGGCCGAGGCCGAGCCCCCGGGUCGGGCGAGGCGGAGAUCGUUUGGCCGAGGCCAGGGCGGAGUCCGAGCCCUGGGGUCGGGCGAGGCGGAGUUCGUCGUCUUCUGGGUCUUAGCCCGAGUCCGAGCCCUGGGGUCGGGCGGAGCGGAGUUCGUCGUCCGGGUCUUAGCCUGAGUCCGAGCCCUGGGGUCGGGCGGAGCGGAGUUCGCCGUCUUCCGGGUCUUAGCCCGAGUCCGAGCCCUGGGGUCGGGCGGAGCGGAGUUCGCCGUCUUCCGGGUCUUAGCCCGAGUCCGAGCCCUGGGGUCGGGCGGAGCGGAGUUCGCCGUCUUCCGGGUCUUAGCCCGAGUCCGAGCCCUGGGGUCGGGCGGAGCGGAGUUCGCCGUCUUCCGGGUCUUAGCCCGAGUCCGAGCCCUGGGGUCGGGAGGAGCGGAGUUCGCUAUGGCGCCUUUGGCAAGGCCUGACUGCCUGUCAGACUCACUCUGUCGAGUGGCACUGCAGUCGGAGUGGCGCAGGCGGCGCUGUCCUUCUGUCAGACUGGUCAGUGGAGCGGUGGAGUGACGGCGGUCACUUCGGCUCUGCCGGGGGGCGCGUGUCAGGAUAAAGGUGUCAGGCCACCUUUGUGUUAAAUGCUCCUGCAACUUGGUCAGUCGGUGUGGCGAUUUAGUCAGGGUUGCUUCUGAGCGAAGCCAAGGCCUCGGGCGAGCCGGUGGUGUGUCCGCCGUUAAAAGGGGGGCCUCGGGCGAGACGGAAGUCUCUCGAGGUCGGCUGCUCUCGGCCGAGGCUAGGCUCGGGUGAAGCGUGAUCGAGUCACUCGUGUGGACUGAUCCCUGACUUAAUCGUACCCAUCAGGCCUUUGCAGCUUUAUGCUGAUGGGGGUUACCAGCUGAGAAUUAGGCGUCUUGAGGGUACCCCUAAUUAUGGUCCCCGACAGUAGCCCCCGAGCCUCGAAGGGAGUGUUAGCACUCGCUUGGAGGCUUUCGUCGCACUUUUUUGCAAGGGGACCAGCCUUUCUCGGUUGCAUUUUGUUCCGGUGGGUGCGCGCGAGCGCACCCGCCGGGUGUAGCCCCCGAGGCCUCGGAGGAGUGGUUACACUCCUUCGAGGUCUUAAUGCCUUGCGUAAUGCUUCGGCUGGUCUGGUCGUUCCCUCAUGCGAACUGGCCAUAGCCCGGGUGCACGGUCGGGGCCCAAGCUCUCGGGCUGGUAUGUUGACGCUGUCAACGGUUUGGCCGGAGCCGGUUUUGCGAGAGCAGCCCCCGAGCCCCUGCACAGGGCGAGAGGACGAUCAGGGACAGACUCGGCUUUUUUACAUACGCCCCUAUGUCACCUUUCCGCAAGGAGGAGGGGGGGAGAGCGCCAUGUUACCCUCGAUGGGCACCGAACAUGGUGUCUCCGGUGAGCUGCAAGCGGGUAAUCCGAGUGGACGUCCGUGCCCCGUUCGUUGGGGGUCGGCUAGGGGCCCAGAGGCACGGCCAAAAGUACCUGCGGGUGAUUUGCCGGACCCGGUCCCCUGGCGACGGGGUCCGAGGGCUCGAUGCCUCCCUCCGAUGGGAUUCCGUUACAAGAUCGUUCCCGCUGGUCUCGGAAAUGUCCUAGGGUACCUCGGGAGCGCAGCCCGAGCCUCGGUUAUGUAUCGAACGUACCCCUGGUCAUCCCUCGCUCGGUGUCUGAGGCGACUGUGAACCCUUCGGGGGCCAGCCUUCGAACCCCUGAUCAGUAAUGGGCGCGGAGCCCGAGUAGCCUGAGGCGGCCAUGGAACCCUUCGGGGGGCUGGCCUUCGAACCCCUGACCAGUAGUGGGUGUCGGGCCCACGCGAUCUGAGGCGACUGUUGAACCCUUCGGAGGGCCAGUCUUCGAACCCCUGAUCAGUAGGGGGGGCUCGGAGCCCGGUUCCUUCGCAGAGAAGGAUCCUUUUCGGGGUAUCCCCCUUUCCCGGUCCCUGUUGCAAGAGAUAGAGAAAGAGGAAAAAGGAAAGGGAUACGAAAUCGAACGACGUGGCGUACCUUUUUUGACGCGGUUAUUACGGCGAAAGCGAAGCGUCGCGCGCUUCUCCCGCCAGAGGCGCCGCGUGUCCCGCCGCGGAGUUAAUGCGACGGGGCGAGUGGUUGGCGGGGCGGCCGUUGCGCGUGCGCGAUCCGUUCGAGGAACGGGUCACGGGUGCACCGUCUUCACGCCGUGGGAGGAGGCUCUCUUGCUGUCCCAGGAUGGGACGUGAGCCUGGCUGACGACGUGACUGCUGCGCCCGCCCGCCUGCCACCGCCAUUACUGCUGGUCCACUUUUGGCCGCUUUGACCAACGCGCCAGGCUGGCGCUGCUGGGUCGUGCGCUGGGUCGCCUCGAGUCGCGGCAUAGGCUCCGCAACCGAAGAGGUGCGACGGUGGCACAAGUGGCGGUGCGGUUGCUUGCAUGCAGCAACUGGCGUGCCGGUUGCUUGACGCGUGGGCCUGGGCUUCCAAGCUGGCGUGUCAGAAGUCAGAGAAGCACGUCCACCUGGCGCGGUUGCAUGCCGCCUGCAUGGCUGCCCGCCCCUUCCGCCCGUUGGUCUGGGCAAAAGUGGGGGGUCGCUUGUAACCGCUGGGCGGUCGUGCGCACCACGCGCGGCGGUUUGGCUUCUUCUGCCCUGAGCCGGUUUGCAUGACAUGCGGGACCCAGCCCCCGAGUCGCAGGGGAGGGCCUUGGAGCGUGUUGGAGAAGACUCAGCCCGUGGCGUCUGGGGGCGCACGUAGGGAGAGUUGCCUUUAAAAGGAGGGAGACUCCUUUCAGAAGGCAACCAUGUCUUCUUCCUCCCUUAUGCGUCGUGUCUUUCCAUCUUCCAAGCCCCCGGAUGGGGGGUAUCCGCCGCCUUUCCGCCUCCUCGUUGGAGGAACGCAACUCCAUGGGAGUUGGUACCUCUCAGCCAUCGUUCGGCUUCAAGGAUUUUCAUCAUGCAGCCCGGCUGCACCCCUCCACCGGCGGUCACCCGAGAUGGCGACCUCCGGCUUGAUGGUGGGGGAAAGCGAGCCGGGCUGCGGCCUCUGCCCCUCCCUCAGCCUCAAGGAUUUUCAUCACCAGGGCUGGGGAGGGGAGUGCGCCGAGUUGAGGUCGGCCCCCGCGUGGGCGGCGGCCCGCUCCUUCACUCAGUGAUGGGGGGGAGGAGCGGUUGUUGUCCGUGGCGCUGGCAGCUGCAGCGUGCCCGGUCUUCAGACGCGAGUGGCUUCGGAGCCGCUCGCGGCGCCGGCGUCCGCCACGGCAGCUGGAAGAGGUUCUUCCGCCGGCGCGAUAGCCGGGGCCGGCCACGAACUGACCUCCAACUCUACGGCCUUCUGCCCGUCCUUGCCUCACGAGUUUUGGCGUGGGCGGGGGCCUCCUGGCAGCAGCAUCCGCCCUGAGGUCAGUGCUGCCGCUGUUCGACCCCCCGGAGCAGAAGUCGUCGUCGUCGCCGCUGCUGGAGUAGGUGACGGCGCGCCGUUCGCGGCCUUCCGUUGCUCCGCAGGCCUUCCCCCUCGGAGUGGGGUUGUUCGUACCUGCGGAGGGGGAACCGGAGUUCCGUUUGUAAUGGCAUCUCGAAUGCCGGUGUGUUUGUUCAUUGCGGCUGUCGGGGCCUGAACAUGUAUGUAAUUUUGGCACGGAGCCGUGUUUUUUCCUCAUUUUUGAGCACUAAGUCUCGCCUGUUGAUUAUCUGAACCGCUUUACCAAGCAUGAGUCGCCCCGUGUCAAGGUGACGAGUGAGGUAUCCGUAUCCCGGAGGCGUAGGAAUCCCUCGGCUCGAUCGGCCUUGUUGUCUGGGGCUCCUCUAGCUUAGUUCAAGAGACCCCUCGGCCGCUCUUCGAUGAGCCGAGGCCAGGGGUAGCGAUAUCAGUAUGAACAGAGGCGGAGUUGGCUCGAGAAUGGGAACCUGGUUGGCCGGAGCCUAGCCGGGUUGUCCGUCAGCGGAGCCGACGCCGGAGUCGAUCAGCCGAGGCCUCGGGUCGGGCUGGCGCCCUUGGAAGAUGCUUGGCCGGGGCCUCAGGGGUAACCGGCCGAGCCGCCUGCUCGGGCCGGAUUCCCAGAGAAGUCCUUGAUCGCGUCGCCGUCCGAGGCUGGGUCGGACUUUGCUGAAGACGUCGUCGAUGCCGAGGGUGCUACGGCUCCCUUCAGCGUGAAGACCCGAGCCUGCAGGAUCAGAUCGUCUUGUAGCGUGUGCCUUCUGCGGCCGCCGAGGCCAGAAAAACACACCCUCGCCGUGCUUGCAAAGCUGCGUCCUUUUUCCUCUUGUUUCGAGCAUCUGGACUCUCUGUCGGUAACAGGGAUGUUUGUGUGAGCGAGAGUUGCUUCUCGCGGAAGGGACGAGUGAGGUAUCCGUAUCCCAGAGGCGUGGGAGUCCCUCGGCUCGGUCGGCCUUGCCGCUUACACGUACUUUCACCCGUCCAUGAGGCCCUGUCCCCGACUUAGUCGAGAAAGCUUGAAGGACUUGCUUCGGCAGGAGAGCUUCCGAACGUGAAGACUUGUUCGGUCCACGGAGUCGCUUUAUCCGAACGCGAGUUACUUAUCGCAGAAGGUGAUGAGUGAGGUAUCCGUAUCCCGGAGGCGUAGGAGUCCCUCGGCUCGGUCAGCCUUGGCUGCUUACGUGUACUCCGUCGUUUCCAGGAACCGCUUUCCGAAGUAGUCAAGAAGCACGAAAGAAAUCCUGCUAAAAAGAGAUCCUUUUUCGAGGAAAAAUUCUACGCAGAGGGGGUCUCCCCCCUUUUAGCCCCCGAGGGAGGGUCGGGCUUUGCCGAGGCUAGGCCGACCCUUCCUUGACGACUAAACUUUGCGUAGGUGCGAGGUAUAUGAACAACUUGGAAACAUCUUAAGGGUAGAAGCGACGUAGCUGUUUGAUGUUCCAGGUGUUGCCGUAGAUCUCGCCUUGAUUGUUGGCCAGCUUGUAUGUUCCGGGCUUCAGAACUUUGGCGAUGACGAAUGGCCCUUCCUAGGGGGGCGUGAGUUUGUGCCUUCCCCGGGCGUCUUGCCGUAGUCGAAGCACCAGAUCGCCCACCUGGAGGUCUCGGGACCGGACCCCUCGGUCGUGGUAGCGUCGCAGGGACUGCUGGUACCACGCCGAGUGUAGUAAGGCCCUGUCCCGAGCCUCCUCCAGCUGGUCCAGCGAGUCUUCUCGGCUAGCUUGGUUGCUUUGGUCGGUGUAGGCCCUCGUCCUCGGGGAGCCGUAUUCCAGGUCAGUGGGCAAGAUGGCUUCGGCCCCGUAGACCAGGAAAACCGGUGUGAAACCCGUGGCACGACUCGGCGUCGUCCUUAGGCUCCAGACCACCGAGGGGAGUUCCUUCAUCCAUCGCUUGCCGAACUUGUUGAGGUCGUUGUAGAUCCGAGGCUUGAGCCCUUGUAGAAUCAUGUCGUUGGCACGCUCUACUUGCCCAUUCGACAUGGGAUGAGCCAUGGCGGCCCAGUCCACCCGGAUAUGGUGAUCCUCGCAAAAAUCCAAGAAUUUUUUGCCGGUGAACUGGGUACCGUUGUCGGUGAUGAUGGAGUUUGGGACCCCGAAGCGAUGGAUGAUGUUGGUGAAGAACGCCACCGCCUGCUCGGACCUGAUGCUGUUCAGGGGUCGGACCUCGAUCCACUUGGAGAAUUUGUCGAUGGCGACCAGCAGGUGCGUGUAGCCCCCGGGCGCCUUCUGCAAGGGACCGACGAGGUCCAGACCCCAUACAGCGAAAGGCCAGGUGAUGGGUAUCGUCUGCAGAGCCUGAGCGGGCAGGUGGGUCUGCUUCGCAUAGAAUUGGCACCCUUCGCAGGUGCGGACAAUUCUAGUGGCGUCAACCACCGCCGUUGGCCGGUAGAAGCCUUGCCGGAAAGCAUUCCCGGCAAGGGCUCGAGGCGCUGCAUGAUGGCCGCAAGCCCCCGAGUGUAUUUCUUGCAGUAGUUCCCGACCUUCGGCGAUGGAGAUGCAUCGCUGGAGGAUGCCCGAGGGGCUGCGAUGGUAGAGCUCCUCUUCAUCGCCCAGCAACACGAACGACUUGGCGCGUCGCGCUACCCGCCGAGCCUCGACUUGGUCGGGGGUAGCUCUCCUCGACGGAGAUAUUGCAGGUACGGGGCCUGCCAAUCUCGAUCAGGCGUGGCCCCGCUCUGCUCUUCCUCGACGUCCAGUGUCUCGCCCUCGGGGGCCGAGGGUACCUCGGGCUGAGCCGAGGGUGCCUCGGGCCGAGCCGAGGGCGCCUCGGCCUGAGCCGAGGGUGCCUCGGGCUCGGGCGCGUCGUCGAUCUUGACAGAGGGUCGAUGCAGAUCCCGGGAGAAAACGUCCGGGGGGACCGUCGUUCGCCCCGAGGCUAUUUUAGCCAGCUCGUCUGCGGUUUCGUUGUAGCGCCGAGCGAUGUGGUUGAGCUCGAGCCCGAAGAACUUGUCUUCCAGGCGCCGAACCUCGUCGCAGUAGGCCUCCAUCUUCGGGUCGCGGCAGUGGGAGUUCUUCAUGACUUGGUCGAUGACGAGCUGCGAAUCACCGCGGGCGUCGAGGCGUCUGACCCCUAGCUCGAUGGAGAUCUGCAACCCGUUGACCAGAGCUUCGUACUCGGCCACAUUGUUGGACGCCGGGAAAUGGAGGCGCAGCACGUAGCGCAUGUGCUUUCCAAGGGGCGAGAUGAAGAGCAGGCCCGCGCCGGCUCCUGUCUUCAUCAGCGACCCGUCGAAAAACAUGGUCCAGAGCUCCGGUUGGAUCGGAGCCGUCGGCAACUGGGUGUCGACCCAUUCGGCCACGAAGUCCGCCAACACCUGGGACUUGAUGGCCUUCCGAGGGGCGAACGAGAUCGUUUCGCCCAUGAUUUCCACCGCCCACUUUGCGAUCCUGCCCGAGGCCUCUCGGCACUGGAUGAUCUCCCCCAGGGGGAAGGAUGACACCACAGUUACCGGAUGAGACUCGAAGUAGUGUCGUAACUUCCGCCUUGUCAGGAUCACAGCAUACAGCAGCUUUUAAACUUGUGGGUAGCGGAUCUUGGUCUCGGACAGCACUUCGCUGACGAAGUAGACCGGUCUCUGAACGGGCAAUGCAUGCCCUUCCUCUUGCCUCUCAACCACAAUCGCGGCGCUAACCACCUGAGUGGUCGCGGCGACGUAGACCAAGAGGGCUUCUCCAUCCGCCGGGGGCACCAAGACAGGCGCCUUUGUAAGGAGCGCCUUCAGGUUCCCGAGGGCUUCCUCGGCCUCAGGGGUCCAAGCGAAACACUCGGCCUUCCUUAAGAGGCGGUACAGAGGCAGACCUCUUUCGCCGAGGCGUGAGAUGAAGCGGCUCAGGGCCGCGAGACAUCCCAUGACCCUCUGUACACCUUUUAAGUCCUUGAUGGGUCCCAUGCUGGUGAUGGCCGUGAUCUUCUCCGGGUUGGCUUCAAUGCCUCGCUCGGAGACGAUGAACCCCAGGAGCAUGCCCCGGGGCACCCCGAAGACACACUUCUCAGGAUUGAGCUUGACUCCUUUCGCCUUGAGACAUCGGAAUGUCACUUCAAGGUCGGAGAGGAGGUCGAAAGCCUUCCUUGUCUUGACUACGAUGUCAUCGACGUAGGCCUCGACUGUGCGACCGACGUGUUCGCCGAACACAUGGUUCAUGCACCGCUGGUACGUCGUGCCCGCAUUCCUCAAACCGAACGGUAUGGUGACAUAGCAGUACAUGCCGAACGGUGUGAUGAAAGAAGUCGCGAGCUGGUCGGACUCUUUCAUCCGGAUCUGGUGAUACCCUUAGUAGGCAUCGAGGAAGGACAGGGUUUCGCACCCAGCGGUGGAAUCCACGAUCUGAUCGAUGCGAGGCAGAGGGUAGGGAACCUUCGGACAUGCUUUGUUGAGACCAGUGUAGUCUACACACAUCCGCCAUUUCCCCCCUUUCUUCCUCACAAGCACAGGGUUGGCAAGCCAUUCGGGAUGGAAUACCUCUUUGAUGAACCCUGCUGCCAUUAGCUUGUGGAUCUCUUCGCCAAUCACUCUGCGCUUCUCCUCGUCGAAUCGGCGCAGAGGCUGCCUGACGGGUCGGGCUCCGGCCCGAAUAUCCAGCGAGUGCUCGGCGACAUCCCUCGGUAUGCCGGGCAUGUCCGAGGGACUCCACGCAAAGACGUCGGCGUUUGCGCGGAGAAAGUCGACGAGCACUGCUUCCUAUUUAGGGUCGAGCCCGGAACCGAUCUGGAUCUGCUUGGUGGUGUCGCCACUGGGGUCAAGAGGGACGGCCUUAACCGUCUCCGCUGGCUCGAAGUUGCCGGCAUGGCGCUUCACGUCUGGCACCUCCUUGGAGAGGUUCUCCAGGUCGGCGAUGAGGGCCUCGGACUCGACGAGGGCCUCGGCGUACUCCACGCACUCCACGUCGCAUUCGAACGCGUGUUUGUACGUGGGGCCGACGGUGAUGACCCCGUUGGGGCCCGACAUCUUGAGCUUCAGGUAGGUGUAGUUGGGGACGGCCAUGAACUUCGCGUAGCAUGGCCUCCCUAGUACGGCGUGGUAGGUUCCUCGGAACCCGACCACCUCGAACGUCAGGGUCUCCCUUCGGAAGUUGGAGGGCGUCCCGAAGCAGACGGGGAGGUCGAGUCGUCCGAGGGGCUGGACGCGCUUCCUAGGGAUGAUCCCGUGGAAGGGCGCAGCGCCUGCUCGGACGGAGGACAGAUCGACGCGCAGGAGCUUGAGGGUCUUGGCGUAGAUGAUGUUGAGGCAGCUGCCCCCAUCCAUCAGGACCUUGGUGAGCCUGACGUUGCCGACAACGGGGUCGACGACGAGCGGGUAUUUCCCCGGGCUCGGCACAUGGUCGGGGUGGUCGGCCUGGUCGAAGGUGAUGGGCUUGUCGGACCAGUCAAGGUAGACUGGCGCCGCCACCUUCACCGAGCAAACCUCCCGGCGCUCUUGCUUGCGAUGCCGAGCCGAGGCAUUCGCCGCAUGCCCUCCGUAGAUCAUGAAGCAGUCGCGGACCUCGGGGAAUUCUCCUGCUUGGUGAUCUUCGUUCUUGUCAUCGUCGCGGGCCCUGCCACCCUCGGCGGGUGGCCCGACCCUGUGGAAGUGACGCCGAAGCAUAACGCACUCCUCGAGGGUGUGCUUGACGGGCCCCUGAUGGUAGGGGCACGGCUCCUUGAGCAUCUUGUCGAAGAGGUUUGCACCUCCGGGGGGCUUCCGAGGGUUUUUGUACUCGGCGGCGGCGACAAGGUCCGCGUCAGCGGCGUCGCGUUUCGAUUGCGACUUCUUCUUGCCUUUCUUCUUGGCGCCACGCGGAGCAGACGCCUCAGGAGCCUCUUCCGAUGGGCGGCCCUGGGGCUGCUUGUCCUUUCGGAAGAUAGCCUCGACCGCCUCCUGGCCAGAGGCGAACUUGGUGGCGAUGUCCAUCAGCUCGCUCGCCCUGGUGGGGGUCUUGCGACCCAGCUUGCUCACCAGGUCGCGACAAGUGGUGCCGGCGAGGAACGCGCCGAUGACAUCCGAGUCGGUGAUGUUGGGCAGCUCGGUGCGCUGCUUCGAGAAUCGCCGGAUGUAGUCCCGGAGCGACUCCCCCGGCUGUUGCCGGCAGCUUCGAAGGUCCCAGGAAUUCCCGGGGCGCACGUAUGUGCCCUGGAAAUUGCCGGCGAAGGCUUGGACCAAGUCGUCCCAGUUGGAGAUCUGCCCCGGAGGCAGGUGCUCCAACCAGGCGCGAGCAGUGUCGGAGAGGAACAGGGGGAGGUUACGGAUGAUGAGGUUGUCGUCGUCCGUCCCACCCAGUUGGCAGGCCAGGCGGUAGUCCGUGAGCCACAGUUCCAGUCUCGUUUCCCCCGAGUACUUCGUGAUAGUAGUCGGGGGUCGGAACCGGGUCGGGAAUGGCGCCCGUCGGAUGGCCCGACUGAAGGCCUGCGGACUGGGUGGUUCGGGCGAGGGACUCCGAUCCUCCCCGCUGUCGUAGCGCCCCCCACGCCUGGGGUGGUAGCCUCGGCGCACCCUUUCGUCGAGGUGGGCCCGACAGUCGCGUCGAUGGUGCUCGUUGCCGAGGUGGCCCGGGGCCGCAGGCGCGGUGUUACGCGUGCGCCCGGUGUAGACCGAGGCUUCCCGCAUGAAUCGGGAAGUCGCGGCAUGAGGUUCCGAGGGAUAUCCCUGCCUUCGGGAGGCAGUGCUCUCGGCCCGUCGGGCCGCAGCGCCUUCCAGGAGAUUCUUGAGCUCUCCCUGGAUUCGCCGACCCUCGGUGGUUGAUGGCUCCGGCAUCGCGCGGAGGAGCAUCGCUGCGGCUGCCAGGUUCUGACCAACCCCGCUGGAUGCGGGCGGCGGCCUGACCCUGACAUAGUUGGCGACGCGAUGCUGGAGACCUUGGGGCAGGUGACGUAUUUCUCCGGCCAGGGGUUGGCCCGCCCAUACCUGCCCGACGUCCCGACGGAUCGGCUCAAGCGCUCCUGUUCCCUCGUUGAGCCUGGCCUGCGCCUCGCGGACUUGCUCGAGUUGUGGGUCGUAACCCCCCGCCGGAGCGGGGACCACAGCUAGCUCCCGUGGGAUGUCGGCGCGAGGCACCGGCCUAGGAAGAUCACCACCCUCCGGCAUGCCGAGAUGGUUGCCUUCGGAGGGAUCCCCUAGCUCGAUGUGGAAACAUUCGCGGCUUGGGCCGCAGCUCUCGUCGUCAAGGCUGCGGCUUCCGUCGGAACAGUCGGAGAGGCAGUAGUCACAUGCGGUCAUGAAGUCCCGCAUGGCACCGGGGUUGCCAAGUCCAGAGAAAUCCCAACAGAUGCUGGGAUCGUCAUCUUCCUCGGACCCAGAGGGCCCGUAGGUCGAGACGUCCGUCAACCGGUCCCAAGGCGACCGCAUACGAAACCCCAGUGGGGUUGCACUCGCCUCAAUGAGAGCGCCCGCCAAAGCGAGGUCGUUUGGCGGGUUGAGGCCGAGUCGAAAUGACGUAAGAUGGGAGUUAGUCGGUACCUUUUGGUCGACGAGGAGCGACGUAGUCACAUCGGGGAUUGGUUGCACCGUCAUCCCAGGUACGAGGGCGACGUCCUGCAGGCUUUCCGCGAGCGCGCUGGCGUCGUCUUCUUGCUCGGGAUCAGCGUGUCGCGGGGGGACGGCGCUUGCCUUCGUCUCGAACGCGAGGUCGACGUCCGGCGUGCCUUCCGUCGGGGCGUCGGGGGCGUCGAUUCGCUCGACGGCCAACGAAGCGCGGCCUCCCGCUUGGCCUUGAUGGCCCCGCCUCCUCCUCCGUUGGCGGGGGAGAAAACGGAGCGAGCUCGAAUGUUGUUCUUCCACCACGCGGGGAAGGUGUCGUCGAUUCCGCCGCCGGCGGGCGGGUUGUCGGCCGCCAUUGUCGUUGUCGCGCGGCGGUGGAAGAAGUAUCAUGUCGUAGCUGCCGUCGAAGGACAUGAACUCAAGAGUCCCGAAACGAAGCACCGUCCCGGGCCGGAGAAGUUGCUGGAGACUGCCCAUCUGGAGCUUGACGGGGAGCUGUUCGUCAGCACGCAGCAGGCCCCUACCUGGCGCGCCAACUGUCAGCGUUUCGAGACAGGGGGGUCCCUAAGGCGACGAGUGAGUGUGCUGCGUGCCCCAGCCCAGAUGGGUCGAGCGCGUGGGCGAGCGCGAAGGGGGGAGAGGCGAGGUGGCCGGAGUCGGGCGUGAGAGAGGUGGAAGUCCCGCGGCCUUCGUGUUCGUCCCGCGCCCAGGUCGGGUGCGCUUGCAUUAGGGGGGUUACAAGCGUCCACGCGGGUGAGGGAAGCGAGCGGCCCCAAGAGAGCGCCUGUCCCGUCCUCGGUCCCGCGCGGCCAACCUUCUCUAAGAAGGCCCUGGUCCUCCCUUUUAUAGUCGUAAGGAGAGGAUCCAGGUGUACAAUGGGGGGGUGUAGCAGAGUGCUACGUGUCUAGCGGAGAGAGAGCUAGCGCCCUAGGUACAUGCCAAUGUGGCAGCCGGAGAGGUCUUGGCACCUUGCUGGCGUGAUGUUGUGGCUGUCGGAGGAGCGACGGAGCCUGGCGGAGGGACAGCUGUUGGAGCGGUCGAGUCCUUGCUGACGUCGCCCUGCUUCCGUAAGAGAGCUGAGGGCCGCCGUCGUCACAGAGCUCAUGGAGCGCCAUCAUUGCCCAUCCGGCGGAGCUGGCCGGAUGGGACGCCGGUCUUGUUCUCCGUGUCUCGAGUCGAUUCGGGGUAGGACGAUGAUGGUGCUUCCUGUUGACGUGGCGGGCCUGUGCCCUAGGCAGGGCGACGUGGGGGCUCCUCCGAAGCUGAGGUCGAGUCUGUCUUCCGUUGCCGAGGCCGAGCCCGAGCCCCCGGGUCGGACGAGGCGGAGAUCGUUUGGCCGAGGCCAGGGCGGAGUCCGAGCCCUGGGGUCGGGCGAGGCGGAGUUCGUCGUCUUCCGGGUCUUAGCCCGAGUCUGAGCCCUGGGGUCGGGCGGAGCGGAGUUCGUCGUCUUCCGGGUCUUAGCCCGAGUCCGAGCCCUGGGGUCGGGCGGAGCGGAGUUCGCCGUCUUCCGGGUCUUAGCCCGAGUCCGAGCCCUGGGGUCGGGCGGAGCGGAGUUCGCCGUCUUCCGGGUCUUAGCCCGAGUCCGAGCCCUGGGGUCGGGAGGAGCGGAGUUCGCUAUGGCGCCUUUGGCAAGGCCUGACUGCCUGUCAGACUCACUCUGUCGAGUGGCACUGCAGUCGGAGUGGCGCAGGCGGCGCUGUCCUUCUGUCAGACUGGUCAGUGGAGCGGUGGAGUGACGGCGGUCACUUCGGCUCUGCCGGGGGGCGCGUGUCAGGAUAAAGGUGUCAGGCCACCUUUGCGUUAAAUGCUCCUGCAACUUGGUCAGUCGGUGUGGCGAUUUAGUCAGGGUUGCUUCUGAGCGAAGCCAAGGCCUCGGGCGAGCCGGUGGUGUGUCCGCCGUUAAAAGGGGGGCCUCGGGCGAGACGGAAGUCUCUCGAGGUCGGCUGCCCUCGGCCGAGGCUAGGCUCGGGUGAAGCGUGAUCGAGUCACUCGUGUGGACUGAUCCCUGACUUAAUCGUACCCAUCAGGCCUUUGCAGCUUUAUGCUGAUGGGGGUUACCAGCUGAGAAUUAGGCGUCUUGAGGGUACCCCUAAUUAUGGUCCCCGACAAUUCUUGUUGAAGAUUUUGGUGAGGCAAUGGGGUUAAAAGGCCAAGAUUGAUCCCGUUUUGGUGCUUGAUGCCAAAGGGGGAGAAAAUAAAGGCCAAAGCAAUAAAUGGAUCAGCUACCACUUGAGAAAUAUUGAAAAUAGUAAAAUAGAGCUUUUGUUCUGUCAAAACUCUUGCAUUGUCUCUUUUGUCAAAAGUUGGCCUCUUGUGGGGAGAAGUGUUGAUUAUGGGAAAUAGGGGGAGUUUUUGAAAUCUUUGAUCAAUCUCUUUUGGAAUGACUCUCUUUAUGCUUCAACAUGUGUGUUUGACUUAGAGAUAGAGAUUUGAGUUUGAUUUGCAAAAACAAACCAAGUGGUGGGAAAGGAUGAUCCAUAUAUGCCAAAAUUGAAUCAAAAUAAAUUUGAAUUUUAUUUGAAGUGAUAUUGCACUUGUUCUAGUUGCUUUAUGUUGUGUUGGCAUAAAUCACCAAAAAGGGGGAGAUUGAAAGGGAAAUGUGCCCUUGGGCCAUUUCUAAGUAUUGUGGUGAUUGAGUGCCAACACAAGUGCUUAAAUGUGAAUUUAUGCUCAUAGAUGGACAAAGUGCAAAUCAAGAGUAAAGGUAUGUUUCUAAGCCUUAGUACAUUGGUUUUGUGUACUAAUAUACUUGUCUAAGUGUUAGAAACAGAAAGAAGAAGAAAAGAAAAGAGGUGAAAAAGGACUGGCUGUGUACAGCCAAGACUCAGCUCAGUCUGGCACACCGGACUGUCCGGUGGUGCACCGGAUAGUGUCCGGUGCGUCAGGAUGACUCGGCGUGAAGUGGCCGCUCUCGGGAAUUUACCGGCGACGUACGGCUAUAAUUCACUGGACUGUCCGGUGUGCACCGGACUGUCCGGUGAGCCAACGGUCGGCCGCGCGAUCUGCGCGGGACACGUGGCCGAGCCAACGGCUAGAAGGGAGCACCGGACUGUCCGGUGUGCACCGGACAUGUCCGGUGCGCCAACGGCUCCAAGUCAGCCAACGGUCGACUUCGCCAUUUAAGGAAGGAAAUCGGGCACCGGACAGUGUCCGGUGUGCACCGGACUGUCCGGUGCGCCACACGACAGAAGGCAAGAAUUGCCUUCCCUGUUUGCUCUCAACGGCUCCUAGCUGCCUUGGGGCUAUAAAAGGGACCCCUAGGCGCAUGGAGGAGAAAAACAAGCAACCUAAGAGCAUUCUUGAUCAUCCACACUCAGUCUUUGCGCAUUCGUUUGUCAUUCUCAGUGAUUCGAGCUCCGUUCUAGUGAGAACUUUGAGAUAGUCAUUUGAGCUCGAUUCUUGGCCGUGUGUGUGCGUAUUUUGCUGUGGAUUUGUGUGUGUUGCUUCCCUCCCUUACUUCGUAUUUCUUUGUGAAUCUCAAGUGUAAGGGCGAGAGACUCCAAGUUGUGGAGAUUCCUCGCAAACGGGAAAAGAUCAAAGUAAAGAAAAACACUGUGGUAUUCAAGUUGAUCAUUGGAUCACUUGAGAGGAGUUGAGUGCAACUCUCGUCCGUUGGGACGCCACAACGUGGAGUAGGCAAGCGUUGGUCUUGGCCGAACCACGGGAUAAACCACUGUGUCAUCUCUAUGUUUGAUCUCUUGUGGUAUUGUGUUUUGUUGAGACUCCUCUCUAGCCACUUGGCGAUUAUUGUGCUAACACUUAACAAGUUUUUGUGGCUAUAAGUUUAAGUUUCACAGGAUCACCUAUUCACCCCCCCUCUAGGUGCUCUCAUUUACCCCUCUCCUUUUCCUGGCACAUCAUUCACAUGAUACUUUCCUAUCGUCCGAAUCUGGGUUGGUUUCCACUGCAUACUUUUCCUGCAGUUUGCUUAUUCGUUGUUUUGGUUUUCCAAUCUCAUUCUGUGUAACAUACAUCAUUGAUGAAUUAGACAGUGUGUUUAUGUGUAACCGUAUAUAAUGUUUGUCUUACAAUUCAUGAUGUUGUAUCAAUCCCAAUCUGUUUUUAUUACACACAGUUUUGGGUAAAACAAAACAUACAACAUUGAUAAAUUAGAUAGUGUGUUUAUGUGUGAAACUUAAUUAGGAUAAUCUUAUUACUUCUAGCUUGUGUUUAACUCUCUAAAUGUCCAUUUUCUGUCGUCCUUAGAGCAACUCCAACCAUAAGCCUUAUAGUUAGUGUUGGUGACUUGUUCUCAAAUGCUUCGAAUUAAGAACAAGGCAACAUGAAAAGUGUUACACAUUAAGGUCCUUCGUCCUUCGAAACAUUAUGUCCCUUCGGGAAUAAUGAUUUAGGACGAAGGUCAUCAUAGACAUACCUUCGGGAAUAUAAUAAGUAAUGCCGAAGGAUUCAUAUAAAGCAUCAAAUACAAACAUCAACAUAAAAUCAUUUCUAUUUUAUUAACAUGGAGAAAUAGAAAUGAUUUUAAAUUACAAAUGUACCUUUGGUCCUGAGAGAAGGUAAAAAGUACAAGCGUGAUGCAAAAGCCAAUGCCAAGUCAGCGUGAACAGUACGGGAGUACUGUUCAUCUAUUUAUAGACGCGGGACGCAGCCCACGUAAAAUUACAUCCAUGUCCAUUACAUUUGUUAACGGCUUAUGGAAAUCUGUCGAGGCCCCCGAAGUCUUUUCAUCUUUAAGUCGGUUCCCCCUUCUGCCAUCGCGCCGAAGCUUCCCUGCGCACAGCUUCGGCUACACUCGACCUUCGUCUGGUUCAGGCUUCGUCCUGGCCGUGCUCCAUAUUCAUAAUUCUGGAUCCGAAAAUACCUGUUCACAUAAUCCACUCGGAAAACAUUGUCAAAUCAUGUUUUUGAGGACCUUCGGAGGACGAAGGCCCCCAACAGUAGCCCCUCGCAAUAUUAAUUUGUAAAUAAUAAAUUCAGAUUGCGAUAUGGACGAAGGCCUUGAGCCGAAGGUCCGAAAAAACACCUUCCCUUUGCUAGAAUAGCAACAUCUACUGACAAGCGGGGCCUUUCAAUUUUCAACGCCCUAGGCGUAUAAAUAAGAUCACAUCGCGAACUGAUUUGGUACGCACACUUGCCUUCUGCUUCGGCCCACUAAAAUUUUUAGCUCUUGUGCACUAAGAUUUGCUGAUCUUUUUGAUUUUUAAGCUUCGGACUUAGAAACAGUUUUUGAGCGCUUCCGAAGAUGCCUGAAGGUAAGAAGAUCGCUGCUGAGACGAAGCUGAGUCUUGAGGAAGAAAAGAACUUGGGGUUCAUUAUGGCGAUGGCGGAGACCAAUACAGAGAAGAUCACCAAGGAAAUUCUUGAAGGUCUGUCCGAAGACACUGAUGACAGCGACAGUUUUGAUGUAGAAAGUGGCGGGGAAGAGGCCGAAGAUCGACCGUGGCGACCAAGUCACGCGGUUUUUGGGAAAACCGCCAUCAAACAGAGCCAUAUUGAUAAUAUGAGGGGGCGAUACUUUCGAGAUAUAACUAUUGUGAGGGCUGACGCUGGAGAAAAGACUACCCCCACCCCCGAAGAAGAUGAGGUCGUAAUCUUCCGAAGCUUUCUCAAAGCUGGGCUUCGAUUUCCCUUAAGCAACUUCGUUAUUGAGGUACUGAAAACAUUUCAAAUCUUCUUGCAUCAAAUUACUCCUGAAGCCAUUAUAAGAAUGGGGAUAUUUGUCUGGGCUGCAAGGAGCCAAGGUUUGGAACCAAACGCUAAAAGCUUCUGUAACAUUCAUGAGUUAUUAUACGAGACGAAGCCCUGGGGAAAGGAGCAAUAUCACAACAACUUUGGGUGCUACAGCUUCGGCGCGCGCUCCGGGUCAAGCUGCCCUGUGCCGACCUUUCGGAAGAGGUGGCCCGGAGCCUGGAUGACGGAAUGGUUUUAUGUGAAGAAUGACCUAUCAGAUCAAGAGAAUGUGAAGAAUAUCAUUAUGCGACCAAUCUGGCAACGCUUCGGUCUUCGAAGGCCGAAGGUCGAAAUGAACGAAGCUGCCGAAGAAUGCCAAAGGGCCUUCGGAGUAGUCUGCUCGUUUAUUGGGACAAGGGACUUGGUCCAAGAACAUAUUGCCUUCAGGGUAUGGCCACUUGCAGAAAAGUGGGAAAUGCCGAAGGAAACCAUCAAAGAGUCCGACGAAGGCGGACUAGUCAGAUUAAAAUACAUAUUCAAAUAUGGGGACAAAUUUGUCGAACCUGACGACGACUGGUUGAAAAGCAUUGAAAUAUUAAGUGACGAACUUCUUAGCGCAUAUUCGAAGGCUGAGAACACUGCGUUAUCAGCAGCCUUCGGAGGCCGAAAAAAGAAGAGACUCAAUCGGGUGUUUGAUGCAAUUGGGUUCUUUUACCCUGACUAUCGUUAUCCCACUCGAGGGCAGAAAAGAAAGAACACAACCUCUGCAGAAGAGGAAGCUGCAACUGCUCCUAGCGAGCCAGAAUCAAAGAGAAAGAGGAUAAAAGUCCUCACACACCGGCCACGCUAUAUUGAACCAGCUUCGGUGCCUGAGUUCACCGGAGAAGCUUCUUCGGCCACCGAAGCUGAACAGCCAACCUUGCUGCCAGAAACUGCAGAGAUGGCCGAAGCACCAUCCACAGAAAAAAUGGAAGAAGCGAAAAAGCCGACUAAGGAAAAAACAUUAGAAGUUUUGAGUCCUGCAGUAAAUAUUGAAACAGCAAAAAACCAAAAGGGGCCAUCAGUGACCCCAAAAAGGAAAAGAAUGGUAAAUGUACUAGACGUCUUGGAGACAAUUAAGUCUUCAAGCACAAUUCCAAAAAAGAGUGUUGAAGUUGCUGAAGCUUCUACUGAAGCUUCGGCUCAACAAGCUGAAGCUGAAGCUGGGCCUUCAGAGCCCUACAAGGAGCAACCUUUUGAAGCCGAAGCAAUAAAAAUUCCAGAACCAGUAUUAGUUGAAGAAACUGACACCGCCAUCCCCGAAGCACCUGCCAGCAUGCGUGAUUACAUGAUACGACAUGCUUCGGGGAAGAAGCUAUCUGAAGAAGAAACUCAUGAAGCCAUCCAUUAUGCAAAGGAACUAAAAUAUCCGAAGGGGGCAGUAAUAUUCAAUGGAACGAAUGAAGAUGACUUCUUAUACUGCCUGCCUGACAACAAAGAGCUAUCUGUCUGCCGAGAAAUGGCCAGAAGUAUUGGUUUCCCGAAGCUUGAAUCUGGAUUAAGCGCCAUGACGAAAGAAGAUCUCGCAGACAGUCUUGCGUACAACAGCCUGAAGGUAUAGGAAUUAAACACUUGAAAAACCCCCUUAUUUUUACGCAACUCAUUCCUUUUUUCUUAUAUGAAUUCUUUUUCGUAUAGGGCCUGAUCCUAAGCAACGCACUAAGAGCCCAAAAGAGCGCCGAAGAUGAAAGCUAUGAAAUUGCGUUUAAUAAUUUACGCUCCGAAGUUAUCAGACUGAGAAACGAAGCUUUGGAAAAAGAUAAAAUUCUGCUUACACUGGUAGAUAAAGUGAAAAAAGACGAAGCUGCUUCAAAGGCCCAGGCCGAAGCUCAAAAACGCGAGAUUAAAGAUCUUCAGAAACAGCUGGCUAGAGCUAAAGAGGAGCGCGCGCUUGAGGAAACGAAACGAGAACUUAGUGAUUUUAUGGUCAGCAAAUUGGAAUCAAAAGUUAAGGAGCUUCGCACAUCUCAGGGGAAAUGCUAUGUCAAAUCUGUAGAAUGUGUGAAUAAAAUUAAAUCCAGCUUCGCCAGCGUAGGCGCCUUUUCCAGCGAAGAGAAUUUCUCUCGAGGCAAUCCCGAAGGUCCGCUGGAAUGGAUUAGCCACGAAGCAGAGGCCUUCGAAGAGAUUCUGAACAGUCGUGGCGACAUAUGCGCUUUUUCGGGCGCCAGAGGAAUUGCUUCUGUCUUAGAGAAGAAAGGUUGCGGGCAUGUAAAAUUUUUAGCUCAAUCCGAAGCUACCUUAUCUUCCGAAGACGUCAAGGACCCCUCGGCCGAAGCAAGCGUGGUUGGUGGCAAAUUUUUUACUGAUAUCUGGAACGACGGCGGCCGAGGAAUGGCGCAAGAGAUCAUCCAAAGGAGCGAAAAAGGCAUUCAUGACGCCAGAAAAGUGGCAGAAGCUGCCGAAAGGAGUACAGAGCCCGAAAGGCAAUUAGGUACCAGUUAGUCGCUCUUAUUGUGUUGUAAUUUUUAUUCCAAACUUUGCUCAAGGUUUGCAAAAGUAAUGAAGAAAUGAUCUCUUCCCUCAGAAACUGCUGGAUCAAAUGUCGACGAAGAAAUUAAACAAAUGGCCGAAACUAUCUUGGACAAGGUUGUUGACCAACUUCUAAAUGAGGUCGCCGAAGAAGUAUUGAGAGAAGAUUAGAUGCUAUUUGGAAAAAUCAUUUAAAGUGUAAUCUAUGUAACACUUUGUACAUUUGAAUGUAAUAUACAAGUCUCCUUUCAUUAUUGAAUUCUUUACGAUGCAUGAAACAUUAAAUACAUACCAUUUUUGAGCCUUUGGCGAAAAAACACCUUCCCUUCUUUUCAUGCUUCGUGAAGAAGGCAUUCUCCGUUAAAAUUAUUCUGAUGAAUCACAUCCAUGCUUCGUCAAAACAUUCUUCGAAGCUAUACUCCGAAGCUAUACAACUUCGAUAUUGAUCUGAUAAAGCUCGCCCAUGUUUCGUAAAAAUAUUCUCCGAAGCUGUAUUCCGAAGCUGUACAAUUUCGAUGUCACUUUCUCAAAGCAUCCUUUCGAAGGUUGAGAGUAUCUCCUUCUCUUGCCAAAUGCAAUAUGAUGUAUGAUGCUUAUGCUAUGCAAAAUGAUGUGAUGAUGUUAUGUUAUGCAUGUGACAUUUGUUCCGGAGAUACACAUAAAAUAUAUUCGUAAGCUCUGCAUUCCCUUGGGAACGUCUUUGGAGCUUCUUCGUCUUUUACUUAGACGGUAUCAGCGUUGACUUUUCGCUGUAAGCCUCCCUUAGGAGCUUCUUCGCCUUUUACUUAGGCGGUAUCAGCGUUGACUUUUCGCUGUAAGCCUCCCUUAGGAGCUUCUUCGCCUUUUACUUAGGCGGUAUCAGCGUUGACUUUUCGCUGUAGGCUCUGCAUUCCUUUAGGAACGACUUCUGAGCAGAAAACUUACACUGCGCUCCCUUUGGAACGGCUUUUUGUGACUUCAUAAACUUACUCUGCGUUCCUUAGAACGACUUUCUGUUACUCCGAAGGAUUUUUAAUCCGAAGGUCCUCCUUGGUAACGGAAAAAGUUUUAAGCUUCAGCAACUUAGGCCUGUGGAGCAAAUAGAUUUUCCUCGUGGGAAACAACGAAAUUAUUACAUGAAAACUAUCAAUGUUUUUUGCUUCACAGAAAAUAAAACUGAAUAGAAAAGACUGCUAUCAAAGGUAGGAUAUGUCAAUAAAUGUGCUUCGACUCUGGCACAAUGCUGUUGACUGUGCGAGCUUCGGACUGUUCUCUGAAGUCCCUCUGAUGUGGAGCGUAUUGACUCCCUUCUGGCUGUUGACCUUGCUGCAAUGGAGGUGGAGGCGGAAGCUGCUGCCAGGAAGCUUGAGGUUGACUUGCCGAAGCUACAGAAGCCGCAGGGUGGUUGUCUAUGUAUUGUGGGACAUAAGGCGGAUGAAACGAAGCAGUAUGCAUAACCUGCUUCGACUGAGCUUGUUGAGAUGCAGCUUCGGCUAGUUCCUUUUGCUUCUGGAUUGUAACAUGGCACGUCCUAGUGGUGUGGCCCUUGCCCUCUCCACAGAAUAGGCAAAACAGUCUCCUUGGCUGAUCUCCGAAUCUUCCGCCGAAGCCCCUGGCGCCUCUGCCUCUUGGAGCUGGUGGCCGAAAGAAAGUUUGUUGUUGCCCCGAAGCCUGUGAGGAGCACUGCGGCCUGUUUUGCUGACUCCCCUUAUCAUCAUUCUGAGUGUUGUGAAUGGAACGGACAUGCCUCGGGUAGUAUCUUCCUCCGAAGCCCCUGGUCAUCUCAGAAAAUCUGAAGGCCUCCUCCCUUCUUUGGCGAAAGUCAUUGUCAGCACGAAUGUACUCAUCCAUCUUUUGGAGCAAUUUCUCCAAGGUCUGAGGAGGCUUCCGAGCAAAGUAUUGAGCUGCAGGUCCAGGACGGAGCCCCUUGAUCAUGGCUUCGAUAACGAUUUCAUUGGGCACCGUUGGCGCCUGCGCCCUCAAUCGUAAGAACCUUCGGACAUACGCCUGAAGGUAUUCUUCGUGAUCCUGAAUACACUGGAAGAGGGCUUGAGCUGUAACCGGCUUCGUUUGAAAUCCUUGAAAGCUGGUCAGUAACAUAUCCUUCAGCUUCUGCCAUGAAGUGAUUGUUCCUGGCCGAAGGGAGGAAUACCAGGUCUGAGCAACAUUCCUGACGGCCAUGACGAAAGACUUCGCCAUGAUUGCAGCGUUGCCCCCGUACGAAGACACUGUUGCUUCGUAGCUCAUCAAGAAUUGCUUCGGGUCGGAGUGGCCGUCAAACAUGGGGAGCUGGGGUGGCUUAUAGGAUGGAGGCCAAGGUGUAGCCUGCAGCUCAGCAGACAGAGGAGAAGCAUCAUCAAAAACAAAAUUUCCCUGAUGGAAAUUAUCAUACCAGUCGUCUUCGUUGACGAAGCCCUCCUGAUGGAGGUCUUUCUGAUGAGGCCUUCUGUUCUGCUCAUCGUGAGUGAGAUGGUGAACUUCCUCAGAAGCUUCGUCAAUUUGCCUUUGCAACUCAGCUAGGCGGGCCAUCUUCUCCUUCUUCCUCUGCACUUGUUGAUGUAGCAUCUCCAUCUCUCUGAUUUCUUGGUCUAGCUCUUCUUCCUCAAGCGUCGGGCUAACAGCUUUUCUCUUCUGGCUUCUGGCCUCCCGAAGAGAGACGGUCUCCUGGUUGUGGUCCAGCGGUUGUAGUGCUGCAGCCCCAGCCGCUGAAGCUUUCUUCGGCGCCAUAGCGAAGGUCUAUAGCUUCCGAAGGUGUUCACGAAGACUCGAAGUGGAAGUGAGUUCACCGGAGGUGGGCGCCAAUGUUGGUGACUUGUUCUCAAAUGCUUCGAAUUAAGAACAAGGCAACAUGAAAAGUGUUACACAUUAAGGUCCUUCGUCCUUCGAAACAUUAUGUCCCUUCGGGAAUAAUGAUUUAGGACGAAGGUCAUCAUAGACAUACCUUCGGGAAUAUAAUAAGUAAUGCCGAAGGAUUCAUAUAAAGCAUCAAAUACAAACAUCAACAUAAAAUCAUUUCUAUUUUAUUAACAUGGAGAAAUAGAAAUGAUUUUAAAUUACAAAUGUACCUUUGGUCCUGAGAGAAGGUAAAAAGUACAAGCGUGAUGCAAAAGCCAAUGCCAAGUCAGCGUGAACAGUACGGGAGUACUGUUCAUCUAUUUAUAGACGCGGGACGCAGCCCACGUAAAAUUACAUCCAUGUCCAUUACAUUUGUUAACGGCUUAUGGAAAUCUGUCGAGGCCCCCGAAGUCUUUUCAUCUUUAAGUCGGUUCCCCCUUCUGCCAUCGCGCCGAAGCUUCCCUGCGCACAGCUUCGGCUACACUCGACCUUCGUCUGGUUCAGGCUUCGUCCUGGCCGUGCUCCAUAUUCAUAAUUCUGGAUCCGAAAAUACCUGUUCACAUAAUCCACUCGGAAAACAUUGUCAAAUCAUGUUUUUGAGGACCUUCGGAGGACGAAGGCCCCCAACAGUUAGGCUCUAUAAUUUAAUUUACUACCUAUUCUAUUUGUUUUAUGGUUCAAAUUCAAUUGUCAAUUCCAGUCAUGGACCCUAAAAUGGCUUACGUUUGCAACUACCUCAUGUUCCUGUACGUAGUCCUCUCUGUUUCUCUCCCACUUUGCACGUCAUUCCCGCCUAGCUUUUUUCCGGUUGCUUCCAGAAAAUCGUCGAGCCCUCAUUAGCGGUUGCGACCGUGGGGAUGACAGACUUCAAUCCAUCAAGCACCUAGCAGAUCAAGAGGAGGGGAGAUGUGAGAUAAUAGACAAGAGCCUAGCAAAUCAAGAGAGGAGCUGGGAGACAAACCACGGGGAAGCAGGAUGAUGGAGAGAAGGCGAGCAAGAUGGAAAGGGGACGAUCAUCUUCCUCGGUGGCUCGUCACCGAGAAAC
rnacentral:lncRNA from 1 species